rnacentral:rRNA from 1 species
CCUACGGGAGGCAGCAGUGAGGAAUAUUGGUCAAUGGACGCAAGUCUGAACCAGCCAUGCCGCGUGCAGGAAGACGGCUCUAUGAGUUGUAAACUGCUUUUGUACGAGGGUAAACGCAGAUACGCGUAUCUGUCUGAAAGUAUCGUACGAAUAAGGAUCGGCUAACUCCGUUCCAGCAGCCGCGGUAAUACGGAGGAUUCAAGCGUUAUCCGGAUUUAUUGGGUUUAAGUGGUGCGUAGGCGGUCGGAUAAGUUAGAGGUGAAAUCCCGAGGCUCAACUUCGGAAUUGCCUAUGAUACUGUUCGGCGAGAGAGUAGUUGCGGUAGGCGGAAUGUAUGGUGUAGCGGUGAAAUGCUUAGAGAUCAUGCAGAACACCGAUUGCGAAGGCAGCUUACCAAGCUACUUCUGACGUUGAGGCACGAAAGCGUGGGGAGCAAACAGGAUUAGAUACCCGGGUAGUC